rnacentral:rRNA from 1 species
GACAGAGGAUGCAAGCGUUAUCCGGAAUGAUUGGGCGUAAAGCGUCUGUAGGUGGCUUUUCAAGUCCGCCGUCAAAUCCCAGGGCUCAACCCUGGAAAGCCGGUGGAAACUGUCGAGCUAGAGUCCGGAAGAGGCGAGUGGAAUUCCUGGUGUAGCGGUGAAAUGCGCAGAUAUCAGGAGGAACACCAAUGGCGAAGGCAGCUCGCUGGGACGGUACUGACGCUGAGACGCGAAAGCGUGGGGAGCAAACAGG